GUUUAUUGCUUUCAUAUCUUCUUUCUAUCUCAACCCUGGCCACAUUGAAUUGAUUAGAUUUUACUACCACAAAUAAUUAUAUGUUUAGAGUAAACAUGGUAAAGAUUGCAUUCUUGCAGAAGACUUUUUAACUACUUCUGAGAGAGAGAAAGGGAAAAAACUGCUACAAACACAACCUUUUAACAUCCUUUCCAUGAACAUCAAUUAUACUACAUUGUCAUGAUUGUACAAACAACUGUUAUAUAAGUGGGAGGUUUAGCUAGCUAUAAAGCCUGGCUUAACCCACCAUUUUCCUCAAAGGAAAUGCCUGUACCAAGUCAGGAAUAUGGCAGUUGUUUUUCAAAUGUUCUGAUUAUUGAUAGCGUUUGAAUUUGUCUUGGACUUUGGUAUUUUUUUAUACUGUUUUUUACUAAGAAAUUCAAAAUAAUAGAGUCAUGUGUAUGUGCAUAAUCAUUCCUAUCAAGAAAAUUACAUGUAAUGUAUGCAUGGUGCAUUAAUCUUUUGUCUGUCUGAAUAUAUAAAGUAUGUAAUUGGUGAAGUAAUAUUUAAAAUGGAAGCUUUUCCCCUUUUGUCAAUAAUUAUCAUAUCUCGAAUUCAUAGCUUUUUGUCAAUUAUUAAAUUUCCAAUUCAUAGUUGUACUUUUCCAAUACUGCUUAAUACAAUGACAUGUCUUAUUCCUAGUCCCCACUUCAUUUUGAAUGCAAUCUUUACCCUUCAGUACUCAAAAGCACUUUGAUUAGAAUUUCACAUCAUAACACAUACUUAAGUGCUAGACGGUCACACAAUUUAGAUGAAUUGUUAUCAAAGAAAUAAAAAAAAAAAUCCUAUUCCAUAUGUUAAACUUGAUAUCAGGCUUAUAGCAUUGUAUGCCAGGCAUAUUUUUCAUCUACAAAAGAAUUAUCAGCAAUGCACCAAUCAAAAAAGUUUUAAGGCUAAGUAAAUGUUACUAAGAAUCCAUCAAUAUCUGAUGGAACUUUUAAAACAUGAACACAAAAGAGGUUCUUUCUAGGAUGUUCAUGAUGUUUGAGCAUCAUAUGUCAUUAUUAAUAGAAUUAAUUUAACUUUGUAGAUUUACAAUUUAACAAAAUAAACAGAAAUAGCUAUCAUUUCAAAAGUUAUAGUUAUAAAAUAAAGAGUAUUUAAUGCACUGUUCAGUGGUUUAGUAGUACUAUGAAUAUUCAGAAUAUUUUUACAUGCGCUAAUAAUAUUUUUCUUCACUUUAAUUGAAUCAUUCACCAGGCUGGCGUUAAAUAAGAAGUUAAAACUAGAAAUGAUAGAAGGGUUUAAAUUGUAUCAAUUUUCCUCUGACCUUAACCUUUUUCAAGUAAAACAAGAAAAGGUCAUUAGUAAAAUGAAAAUAACGAAAUUGGGUUUAGAUGAAAUAUCAGUUCUUUUAACCUCGUGUAUGUUACCAUGGUUACUAUGAUAAAUUAUUUAAAUGAGAAUGGUUUAUUUAGGAAAAAUACCAUUUUCAAUUGUGUGAGGAAAGGACAUUCCUCUGACAUUUGAAAUUUUGUCUUUAAAGGAGAGAUUUCCGGAAGUAUACUUAAAUUCUGUAUAAGGGAGGUAACUACUCCUUAGCAGUUGAACUGAGUGAAUCUCUUGUAAAGGGAGAUAACUGCUUUAUAAUGUCUAAUCAAGUGUAGAUUAUGUACAGAUACUUUGUUUAUGAGAAUGAUUUGUUUCUUGUUAUUAAAUAUCUUGAAAUAAAAUAAUGUGAAAC
rnacentral:lncRNA from 1 species